rnacentral:miRNA from 14 species
UGUAUUUGCAUGUGUGUAUGUUUUGUGUGUGUGUACAUGUGUAUACAGGGAGAAACAUAUACAUACACACACACGCAAAUACACACACACACACACAAGCACA